rnacentral:rRNA from 1 species
UACGUAGGGGGCAAGCGUUGUUCGGAAUUACUGGGCGUAAAGGGCGCGUAGGCGGUGCCACAAGUCACUUGUGAAAUCUCCGGGCUUAACUCGGAGCCUGCAGGCGAAACUGUGGUGCUGGAGUGUGGGAGAGGUGCGUGGAAUUCCCGGUGUAGCGGUGGAAAUGACGUAGAUAUCGGGAGGAACACCUGUGGCGAAAGCGGCGCACUGGACCAUAACUGACGCUGAGGCGCGAAAGCUAGGGGAGCAAACAGG